rnacentral:tRNA from 1 species
UGUCGCCGUCGGCCGCCGACCGCGGGGUCGCGACCUCCCGCGAGGUCGUCGGCGCCUUCGAGAUCGAGGCGUCGGCGACGAUCGUGUCGUCGGGCGGCAUC